CACUGUAUUGAUAUACACUGAGCUCGUGGUGCUCCAAAACUCCCAGGGCUUUCUCAUUUGAUCUGUGCUCUGCUCAUACCUUCUUCAGCUUGACUGAAGCUAUAACGAGAAUACAUGAAUUAGAGCCACAGGAAGACGUAGGAAGUUUCAAUCGAAGAAAGCAUUUCCUGACAGUGAAGGCUAAUAAAACGUUGGGAUUCCUGACCAAGGCAGCUGCUGUCUGGAAUGGCCUAAAGCAAGGCCUUAUCCCAAGAGUGUGAUAACAGAAAACAGUCACAGCAAGGAGAAGAACCUUCAAGUCUGCUCUGCACUGAAUGUCCUUGGCUCCUACGCGAUGCCCUCCCUCGGAUGGAAGCAAGUGUGGUGGCCUUGGGAGCUACGUUAAGAGAUGGCUCUGGAUGAGAGACUGAAGGGCAGCACCUCCUGUCAGGCAGUGGCCCCUUCCUGCUAACUCUGACAGAGUCUUUCAGUUGUAUCCAACUCCUUGUGAUCCUGUGAACCACAGCACACCAUUACUGUCCAUGGGGU